rnacentral:tRNA from 1 species
GGGCCCGUGGCGCAGUCGGUAGCGCACCCCAAUUGACACGGGCGAGGACGCCGGUUCGACUCCGGCCGGGCCCACCA